rnacentral:rRNA from 1 species
CUGAGGAUUUUUGGAUGAUUCAUAUUUUCAUGCCCCUUAUGACUUUGGUACACACGUGUACAAUAGACAGAACUAAGGGCAGCGAAACCGCGAGGUUAAGCCAAUCCCACAAAUCUGUUCUCAGUUCGGAUCGCACUCUGCAACUCGACUGCGUGAAGCUGGAAUCGCUAGUAAUCGCGGAUCAGCAUGCCGCGGUGAAUACGUUCCCGGGCCUUGUACACACCGCCCGUCACACCACGAGAGUUUGUAACACCCGAAGUCGGUGAGGUAACCUUUAUGGAGCCAGCCGCCGAAGGUGGACAGAUGAUUGGGGGG